AUGCUCGCGUGCAUACGUGCUUUGCGAAUGCAGGUUACCGUGAAAUCCGCGGGCUCGGCGGUGGAGGUCGAGCUGGUGGCGACCAACGCCGGCGGCGCGCUCGCGCUGCACUGGGGCGCCCUGCAGCAGGGGAGAAGGGAAUGGGUGCUGCCGGCCCGGAGGCCGGAGGGGACAAGGGCGGUCGACGACGCCGCCCUCAGGACUCCCUUCAAAAGCUCUGGUUCCAAUUCUACACUGAAAAUCGAGAUAGACGAUCCAGCUCUCCAAUCAAUCGAGUUUGUUCUCGUCGAUGAGGCACAGAACAAAUGGUUCAAAAAUAACGGCGAGAACUUCCUAAUCCAUAUACGACCAGGCCACCAUCAGGCACAGCAUUCUGCUCCUGCAGCAACAAACCAAAACUUCUCAUCUGAAAGGGUCACACGCAAAAACAGAGAUGUCAUGCAACUCCUCAGUAAACACACAUCCAGUUCCACUGACGUAAAUAAGGCACCAGAAGCUACUCCAGAUCGGAAUCCCACGGUUCUUGAUCUCUUCCUGAAGUCACUACAAGAGAAGAAUGGUUGCCAAGUCCUCUGCAAAAAGGUCUUCAAACUGGGCGAAAAGGAGAUCAUGGCAUCGAUGUCAGAAGUACAAGGAAAGUUCAAAGUUCACUUGGCCACAAAUCACGCCGAGCCACUUAUUCUCCACUGGGCACUGGCAAAGAAGGCUGGAGAGUGGAAGGCACCUCCUCCAGGUGUGCCACCUGCUGGUUCGACAUUGCUUGAACUGGCAUGUGAGAGUUCAUUCUCUGAUGCUGAACUAGAUGGUUUGCAUUACCAGGUUCUGGAGAUAGAGCUUGAUGCCGACAGCUAUAAGGGGAUGCCUUUUGUCCUCCGGUCUAAUCAAACAUGGAUAAAGAACAAUACCUCUGACUUUUACCUUGAUUUUAGCAGGAGAGCUGCCAAGACUUCAGAGCAGAAGGAUAGUAGUGAUGCUGGUAAAGGGACUGCAAAGGCUUUGCUAGAAACAAUAGCCGAUCUAGAGGGAGAGGCCCAAAAAUCUUUUAUGCAUAGAUUCAAUAUAGCAUCCGACCUAGUUGAACAAGCAAAAGAUGUGGGACAAUUGGGUCUUGCUGGACUACUGGUUUGGAUGAGAUUCAUGGCCACGAGGCAACUUAUCUGGAACAAGAAUUAUAAUGUGAAGCCACGUGAGAUUAGCCAAGCACAAGAUAGGUUCACAGACAAUCUUGAAAGUCUCUACAGAACGUAUCCACAGUACAGGGAGAUGCUAAGAAUGAUAUUGGCCGCAGUAGGUCGUGGAGGUCAGGGUGAUGUCGGUCAACGUAUUCGUGAUGAGAUUUUAGUAAUACAGAGAAACAAUAACUGCAUGGGUGGAAUGAUGGAAGAAUGGCAUCAAAAACUACACAACAAUACAAGCCCAGACGAUGUGGUGAUUUGCCAGGCACUGAUGGACUAUAUGAACAGUGACCUUGACAUCAAAGUUUAUUGGGAUACUUUAAACAAAAAUGGCAUAACAAAGGAAAGAUUAGCAAGCUACGACCACCCUAUUCACUCAGAGCCAAAUUUAACGAGGGACCAGAAGGAGGGUCUACUACGUGACUUAACAAACUACAUGAGAAGCCUCAAGGCUGUUCACUCCGGUGCUGAUCUAGAAUCUGCUAUAGGAACCUGUACAGGGUACACGUCAGAGAGUCAGGGUUUCAUGGUCGGUGUCGAAGUGAAUCCUGUGAAGGGAUUACCAUCUGGAUUUUCUGAAUUGCUUAAGUUUGUCCUUGAGCACAUUGAGGAUAAAUCAGUGGAAUCGCUUGUUGAGGGUCUCUUGGAGGCAAGAGCUGCGCUUCGCCCUUUGCUCCUUGGCUCAACGGAUCGCUUGAAGGAUCUCAUAUUUUUGGACAUUGCUCUUGAUUCUACUGUUAGGACAGCAGUUGAAAGGUCAUAUGAAAAUCUGAACAAUGCAUCACCUGAGAAACUCAUGUACUUCAUCGGUCUAGUUGUUGAAAAUCUUGCGUUGUCCACCGAUGACAAUGAGGAUCUCCUAUACUGCUUAAAGGGAUGGAACCAUGCACUUGAAAUGUCAAACAAAUCUGAUAAUCAGUGGGCAUUGUAUGCAAAAGCAUUUCUAGACAGAACUAGACUUGCACUUGCAACCAAGGGAGAAGAAUACCAUAAUAUUCUUCAGCCUUCAGCAGAAUACCUUGGUUCGUUACUUGGAAUUGAGAAAUGGACACUUGACAUAUUUACGGAGGAAAUUAUCCGUAGUGGAUCAGCCGCUUCAUUGUCAUUACUCCUCAAUCGUCUUGACCCUGUUCUUAGGAACGUUGCAAACCUAGGAAGUUGGCAGAUCAUAAGCCCAGUUGAAGUAGCGGGGUAUGUGGUUGCCGUAGACCAAUUGCUCACUGUUCAAGACCAAUCUUAUGACAAGCCCACAGUUUUGGUGGUAAAAGGUGUCAAGGGAGAAGAGGAAAUACCUGACGGUGUUGUCGCCGUCCUUACUCCAGAUAUGCCCGAUGUAUUGUCCCAUGUCUCAGUUCGAGCAAGGAAUAGCAAGGUAUUGUUUGCCACAUGCUUUGACCCAAAUAUCUUCUCUGAACUGCAACAAAAUGAAGGCAAGGUACUUUCACUAAAGCCAGGUUCUGUAGAUAUAAACUACAGAGAGAUUGCAGAGAAUGAACUUCUAGUUUCAAGUUCCCCUGAUACAGCAGAUGGCCAAUCAGCACCAUCUCUGUCACUAGUGAAGAAGCAAUUUGUUGGAAAGCACGCAAUAUCUGCUGAUGAAUUCUCUGAUGAAAAGGUCGGAGCUAAAUCUCGGAAUAUAGCUUACCUCAACGGAAAGGUGCCAUCAUGGGUCAGUGUCCCAACGUCAGUUGCACUCCCAUUUGGAACGUUCGAAACAGUUUUGUCUGAUACGACUAACAAGGAAGUAGCCCAAAAGGUACAGAUCCUAACGGACAAGCUCAAUCAAGGAGAAUUUGGUGCUCUUAAUGAAAUCCGAAAUGUUCUGCUGAACCUAACAGCUCCUACUGAUCUGGUGAAGGAACUCAAGGAGAAGAUGCAAGGUUCUGGAAUGCCAUGGCCUGGAGAUGAAGGUGAACAGCGUUGGGAACAAGCAUGGAUGGCAAUCAAAAAGGUGUGGGCCUCAAAAUGGAAUGAAAGAGCGUACUUCAGCACCCGGAAAGUGAAGCUUGAUCAUGCCAACCUUUGCAUGUCGGUUCUUGUGCAAGAAGUUGUGAGUGCAGACUACGCCUUCGUGAUACAUACUACCAACCCAUCAUCUGGAGAGUCUUCAGAGAUAUACGCUGAAGUUGUUAAAGGGCUUGGGGAGACCCUUGUGGGAGCCUUUCCUGGUCGUGCAAUGAGCUUCGUCUGCAAGAAGGAUAAUCUUGACUCUCCCAGGGUAUUGGGAUAUCCAAGCAAGCCAAUUGGCCUCUUCAUAAAGAAGUCGGUCAUCUUCCGUUCUGACUCAAAUGGUGAGGACUUGGAAGGCUAUGCUGGGGCUGGACUCUAUGACAGUGUGCCUAUGGACAAGGAAGAAGAAGUGAUUCUUGACUACACAAAUGAUCCCCUCAUUACAGAUUGCAGUUUCCGUAACUCAAUACUCUCAAACAUUGCUCGUGCUGGUCAUGCUAUUGAGGAGCUCUAUGGGUCUCCACAGGAUAUUGAAGGAGUGGUGAAGGAUGGAAAGAUCUACGUUGUGCAGACACGGCCACAAAUGUGA
rnacentral:rRNA from 1 species